rnacentral:rRNA from 1 species
GUAAGGAAUAUUGGUCAAUGGACGCAAGUCUGAACCAGCCAUGCCGCGUGAAGGAUGAAGGUCCUCUGGAUUGUAAACUUCUUUUAUCUGGGACGAAAACGGGAUUUUUAUCUCAAUUGACGGUACCAGAGGAAUAAGCACCGGCUAACUCCGUGCCAGCAGCCGCGGUAAUACGGAGGGUGCGAGCGUUAUCCGGAUUUACUGGGUUUAAAGGGUGCGUAGGUGGGCUUAUAAGUCAGUGGUGAAAUCUCCGAGCUUAACUUGGAAACUGCCGUUGAUACUAUUUGUCUUGAAUAUUGCGGAGNUAAGCGGAAUAUGUCAUGUAGCGGUGAAAUGCUUAGAUAUGACAUAGAACACCAAUUGCGAAGGCAGCUUACUACACAAUCAUUGACACUGAGGCACGAAAGCGUGGGUAGCGAACA